UAGCUCAGUGGUAGAACAUCUGCCUUGCAUGAAGAAGGUUUCAUGUUCAAUUCCUGGCAUCUCAG